rnacentral:rRNA from 1 species
AGGACGAACGCUGGCGGCGUGCUUAACACAUGCAAGUCGAGCGGAAAGGCCCUUCGGGGUACUCGAGCGGCGAACGGGUGAGUAACACGUGAGUAAUCUGCCUCUAGCUCUGGGAUAGCUCCGGGAAAACCGGGAUUAAUACCGGAUACGACCACUUUAGACAUCUGUUGUGGUGGAAAGAAUUUUGGCUAGGGAUGAGCUCGCGGCCUAUCAGCUUGUUGGUGGGGUAACGGCCUACCAAGGCGACGACGGGUAGCCGGCCUGAGAGGGCGACCGGCCACACUGGGACUGAGACACGGCCCAGACUCCUACGGGAGGCAGCAGUGGGGAUAUUGCGCAAUGGGCGAAAGCCUGACGCAGCGACGCCGCGUGGGGGAUGAAGGCCUUCGGGUUGCGAACCCUUUCAGCAGGGACGAAGCGAAAGUGACGGUACCUGCAGAAGAAGCGCCGGCUAACUACGUGCCAGCAGCCGC